rnacentral:lncRNA from 1 species
UCAUUUUGCCCUCCUGAAUAAUAUGGUAAUUAUAUUUAAGGUUAAUUUCAUACAGAUUCCUGCAAAUAUAGUGAAUGACAAAUAUAUCUCUACAAAUUUUAACUUUAAUAUGUUGUCCCUCCAAAAAUCGUAACAUUUCAAAUAUAUCCCUGCCGUUAGAAUUCGUUAAAAAAAUUUAGUUAACCAUAGGUUAAAUAUUUAACCAUAGUUAGCCAAUGCGAUAACUUGAUAUUUUUACCCCUUUUAUAUUAUGCCUUCCUCUCUUAAUCAAAAUCCUAGUAAUAGAAACUUUUCUUCUUCUUCGUCUUCCUCUUCUUCUCUCUCCUUCAUAUUAGUUUCGAACUUAUCUUCAUUAAUCCACGACAGGUGUUGCUUCGCUCAUAUCAAACGCGUGUUGCUUGUUCAUUCUGUCGGAUCGUUGGCGCUAACCAUUAAUCUCAAAAGCUCGAGCUAUUAGAAAUACACAACCAAUUCACUUAAAGCGUACAGAUACAACGCCUACGGAUCUCGAUUGUGACUUGGUCCAACCAGCCUCACGCUAUUUUGAACAUGACUCGGCCUAUCCAACCUUACACCAUUUCGAACAUAACUCGGCACAAUAUGGUCUCCCGUCACAGAGCAAAAUGCUGGCCUAUUUAAAUCAAUAAUCUCCCUUCAAGCACCUGCAUAUAUUUGCAACAUGCGGGAAUUGAACCCAUGACCUCUGACUCUUAUACCACUUGUCGGAUUGUUGGCGCCAACCAUUAAUCCCAAAAGCUCGAGCUAUUAGAAAUACGCAACCAAUUCACUUAAAGCGUACAGAUACAAUGCCCACGGAUCUCACCACUUCAAACAUGACUCGGCUUACCUAGCCUCACGCAAUUUUGAACAUGAUUCGGACCAACAUGGCUUCCCGCCACAGGGCAGGAUGCUGGCCCAUUUAAACGAACACAUUCAAAUUCCUCUAUGAUUUUUUCUUUUUUUGCUAAAAAAAAAGAUUUAAGAGAAAAGGAGUAAGAAAAAAUGUUGCGACAAUGGUGGAAAGGUUGGAUUUUAAAAAGGAAGAAGAUGACCAUUGAAUUUUGUUAGAACUAAAACCGAAAAGAUCUAGUUCGUUGGGUGCGAAAAUAUAAAAAGAUCCGAGAAAGAGAGAAGAAAAAAUAAAGAACACAAUAUUACGUGGUCCGGCUAUCGGCCUACAUCCACGGGCGAAGACGAAGUGAAGAUCUUUAUUACAAUCAAAGUGAUGUACAAAAUAUGCCUCUCUCACAAAAUCCUAAUCCCAAAAAAUACACCCAUAUUCUCUCUCAUCUUCCGCACUAAACUAAUGGAAUAAAGGGUAUAUUUAUAAUAGUGGUUAAAUCUUAAUACAACUAGGAAUACAAACCCACUAAGGUUAAGAAUAUCUCAAUAAAAUUAGGCAUAAUCUAAACUUAACUUAAUGGGAUAAUCGAAUCAGAAUAGGGUUAGAAAAUCUUGCGGUACUAGAAUUCGAGACAUAUCUAACAAUCUCCAGCUUGGCUUGAAUUUUCUAUCUUCUCUACCAAAAUCCAAAAAGCUCCUAAAGUGCUACUGCACAUGAGAGCAAGUUUACGGAAUACUUGACCUUGAUCGCCGAAAAAACUUAAUGAGCAAAUCCGCGGGAUUCUCUGAAGUGCCAUCUUCUUAUUCUCCAACUACGCCUUUUGCAACCUUUGUUGCGUCAGAACGACAACUUGUCGUAGAGCGAAACUGCUGGAGCAAUCAAACUUCUCGAUCUCAAAUUCUUCGACGUCUUGAACAUCCAAACAGACACUCCGGCUCUGAUACCAGUUUGUUAGAACUAAAAUCGAAAAGAUCUAGUUCGUCGGGUGUAAAAAUACCAAAAGAGAAUCGUAAACGAUCGAAGAAAAAAUAGAGCACACAAUAUUACGUGGUUCGGCCAUUAGUCUACAUCCAUGGGCAAAGACAGAGCGAAGAUCUUCAUUAUAAUCAAAGUGGUGUACAAAAUAUGUCGUUCUCACAAAACCCUAAUUUCAAAAAUACACCGAUAUUCUCUCUCUCAUCUUCCGCACUAAACCAAUGAAAUAAAAGGUAUAUUUAUAAUAGUGGCUAAAUCCUAAUACAAGUAGGAAUACAAACCCACUAAGAUUAGGAAUAACUCAGUAAAAUUAGGCAUAAUUUAAACUUAACUUAAUGGGAUAAUCGAACCAGAAUAGGGUUAGAAAACUUUGCGAUACUAGAAUUCAAGACAUAUCUAACAAAUUUUUUUUGGGGAAUUGCAAGAUUAUAGUUGUUGUAGCUUUUGGAGGAACAUAUUUGUGAUGACAGAACGAUCAUAUCACUUAUUUGUUGUUAAAAAAAUAAAUGGUGCUUUAACGGUAACAAACUUGAGGGAUAUAUUUAAAAACAUCAGAACUUUUGCAGUGACAACAUAUGAAAUUAAAUUGAACUUUGUUGGUAUAUAUUUGUCUUUCAAUAUUUGCAGGGACCUGUAAGAAGUUAACCCUUGUAUUUAA